AAACCUGUCCGUGGCUGGCAGCCCUGUGAUACCUCGCCACAUUCUGCAACAGAAUCCGAGAUAGAGGUAGAAGUGGGGGAGUACGUCGUGGCUGUCAGGGCAGCUUUCUGUAAAAUGCUGCCUGGAGGAGCAUGUGAUUCCAGACCCUCCUCUCUGCAACGAAAGUGAGGUUGACACCUGCAGGCCUGGGGCCUCCUGGCCCACUGAGCAGAACACACAGAAGCUGGGCCCACCCCUGCCCUCCCCACAAAGGGUCACGGGAGCCACCGCCUGACUUUGAAGCCCACUGACUUGCGGCUGACAAGAGAAAAGAAUGUGCCCCUGUGAUCAUGUGAAAGCAUCAGCCAGGGGUCCAAGAACUUCCCUCUGGAGCCUCACACUCCCAGCGUGGCACCCAGCAGGGAACAGAUUCUCUCCAAACCUUUGUGAAUGAAUGAAGGAUGACGUCACUAGAAUCCAUCCCUGUUUUAUUUUUUAUUUUUAUUUUUUGAGACAGAGUCUCGCUCUGUUGUUGCCCAGGCUGGAGUGCGG
rnacentral:lncRNA from 1 species